rnacentral:rRNA from 1 species
UAGGGAAUAUUGGACAAUGGGGGCAACCCUGAUCCAGCCAUGCCGCGUGAGUGAAGAAGGCCCUCGGGUUGUAAAGCUCUUUUGUCCGGAAAGAAAAGCAUUCGGUGAAUACCCGGAUGUUCUGACGGUACCGGAAGAAUAAGCACCGGCUAACUUCGUGCCCGCAGCCGCGGUAAUACGAAGGGUGCAAGCGUUACUCGGAAUUACUGGGCGUAAAGCGUGCGUAGGUGGUUGUUUAAGUCUGAUGUGAAAGCCCUGGGCUCAACCUGGGAAUGGCAUUGGAAACUGGGCAGCUAGAGUGCGGUAGAGGGUAGUGGAAUUCCCGGUGUAGCAGUGAAAUGCGUAGAGAUCGGGAGGAACAUCUGUGGCGAAGGCGACUGCCUGGACCAGCACUGACACUGAGGCACGAAAGCGUGGGGAGCAAACA